UACGUAGGGUGCAAGCGUUGUCCGGAAUUAUUGGGCGUAAAGAGCUCGUAGGCGGUUUGUCGCGUCGGCUGUGAAAACCCGAGGCUCACCUCGGGCCUGCAGUCGAUACGGGCAAACUAGAGUGCGGUAGGGGAGACUGGAAUUCCUGGUGUAGCGGUGAAAUGCGCAGAUAUCAGGAGGAACACCGGCGGCGAAGGCGGGGUCUCUGGGCCGUAACUGACGCUGAGGAGCGAAAGCGUGGGGAGCGAACAGG
rnacentral:rRNA from 1 species